AUACGGAAGGUCCGGGCGUUAUCCGGAUUUAUUGGGAUUAUAGGGAGCGCAGGCGGAGAUGCAAGCGUGACGUCAAAUUUCGGGGCUCAACCCCGCCUCGCGUCGCGAACUGCGUCCCUUGGUUGCGGGAAGGGGAGGCGGGAAGCGUGGGGUAGCGGAGAAAUGCAUAGAUAUCACGAAGAACUCCGAUCGCGAAGGCAGCCUUCCGGCCCGUCAACGACGCUCAUGCUCGAAGGUGCGGGUAUCAAACAGGAUUAGAUACCCUGGUAGUCCGCACAGUAAACGAUGGACACCCGCGGUUUGGCCUGUAUGGCUGAGCCGCCAAGCGAAAGCGUUAAGUGUCCCACCUGGGGAGUACGCCGGCAACGGUGAAACUCAAAGGAAUUGACGGGG
rnacentral:rRNA from 1 species